CAACAGAGAUGAGAGUGUUUUUGUUGAUUGCGCUUUGAUUAGGCAGUUGUCUAGAAAGAUGGUGUUUUCUCCAUCGUAUUAAUAUUGAGGGAUUUGCACAAAAGUGCACGCGGCCUAUCGUUUCCGAAAGGUACAACCGCGGUUUUCACCCCCUGUUUACUUCAUGCUUAUGGGAAAUAACAUUGCGGCGUUUCCUAGGGGUGCGGCUGUUCCUUUCGAAAACGAUAGACCGCGUGAACUUUUGUGCAAAGCCCCUUUUUGAAAUGAUUUCAACGACCGCGCGGUGUUUACGUUUCAAGAAAUCUGACAAUAGAAUUGUGAACGUUUAAUAGACCAUUCCCGUCGUAAAUUUUUAUGUGCUCUACGGCUUUCUGCCAAUUUAUUGAGCAAACUUUCCCAAACAACCCCCAUGUUUUGAAGCCUCUAACUAUUGAAAAACAGCAAAAAUAGUGCUAAGCUCUUGUUGCGGCGGCAAUUUGGUGUUUGGUGAAACUGGUAACGCUAUGAUCUAAUAGGAAUCAAUUAAAUGUACUGGGAUCGCAAGAAGAUUUAGUAGUAAGAUACACGUCGAGUUGGCGAGUUCGUUCCUCUACCGGUGAAAAAUAGGAAACUAUCAUCAUUGAAGCUACCGUAAAAAGUUGCUUUCGAUAUGUGUUUCGAUCCGGAGAAAACUCGCGCCAACAAACUCCAAUGAUGAUAAUCAUCAAUACAAAGGACUCGCCAUGUAUAGUCAAGUUGAAAGCCUUAAAAAAAGGCUCGAGGAACUUGAGAAGCGGGAGCAGAUUUGGCGAGAGCAGCAGCGGGAUAAAGAAAGGCGUGCAAAGGAGGAUUUCGAACGCCAAAUAGCUCAAAUUGAGGAAGAUUUCGCGGUAGCUGUGGAACGCCUAGAACUUGAAUUUAGCGCAAAGAAAAAGGCACUACUCAAUCUACAUAGUGCAAAAGAUGGACACGGUAAAACGGUUGCAGUUGCACCUCCCGUUUCGUGUAAUGGAAGUGCUCAACAGAUCGCAUGUACCAAUGGACCAAGUUUCAAUACAUCGAUUUCCACGAAGUAUAUGGUAGCCCAUCAAACAAAAAAGCUGCCGGGAAUUUCAACUGACUCACGAAAUCAUGUAGCAGUUAGGAAGCAUGUAACUCGUGAAGUUAUUCAAAAAGUAACAGUGAAUAAUUCGCGACUACGAAGAUGGCAGCAUCGUACCUUCGUUGGUGCGAAACCGAACUUUUACAAGCAGAAAAAGGUACUCAUCCACGUGCUUCAAUAUUACGGUGAAUGCGACGACGUUCCAAAAUACAACGGCAACGAUGAAGCAGCUGAUACCAAACAAUGGCCAGAACGUUGCAGAAUAAGACUAUUUGUUUUCGAUCCCGGUGGAUAGACAUAUGAAUAGCGUUUAGAAUGCGGCUGUGAGCUAAGCUAGAAAGAUAAACAUCGAUCGUAGAGAGAGGAUACUGGCUGAUUCAUUAUUUUCGCGUGAUGGUUUCGGGAUGCUCAUAUCGCGUUGUAGUGCACAGUGGGUAGGUUGUAAGUGCACAGUGGUACAGAAAUGUUAAAUUAUGUGUUUUACCAGUUUCACGGGUGGGAGAAUGUUGCGGCGGCUCGUGAAAUAUUUUAGUGAAACUGGCAACACAUAUUUGGUAGUGAUUGUUUUGUAUUAGAUUUCAUCCCCAUUGUGAUAGGCAGUAGGCAGUUGGUUAAUUACAAUCGGUUGGAGUGUUUGUGUCUUUAAGAGUAGCGGCAGGGAAACUAUCAUGUAAGAUCUUUACUGUAUUUUAUAAGCACAUUUUGUAUAAAAAUAUAAAUAUAUUGCAGCAUUGGAGCUGACGUGAAGUAAACGCUGCUUUCAAUAUGGGUUUCGCCGAACUUGAGAUAACUGCCUCCAACAAAAUUUUACACCGCUUUCCUCUUUAGUUUUUAUUUUGGUGAAAGUGCGUUUGAUCCCGUCCUCCCCCCUCUGACGUUUCUCUUGUGAGGUGAAUUUUGCGUCAGCUGUUUGGUCCAGGGGGCCAGCGAAAGGCAAAAUCCCCGUAGCUCACAACAAAAACACGUUCAAAAUUGUUUGUGCUGAAAAUUGAUGCAUUACACAAUUUCUUACUGAUUUAUUUGCUAUCUCUGCGUUGUCGUGUAAUUUCGAACGAUUGCACGCUAAAAUUUUGAUAACCUUUUGCUAGUUUUACACGUUUUACUCAAGUAAUAACUUAUGGUAAUGACUAAUUCGCAAAUGUCGUGCACAUCCCAGUUCUGUCAGAGUACCCAAAAGUGUCAAUUUCCCAAACAUGCAGGCAAACAUGUCAAAUUCAUGUGGACUACGGCUCAUCUAUUCGUGGUUGACGUCCGCGCUGCCCCGCUGGCUUUUGUUUUUGGCACUUUUUCUUUUGUUUUGCCUUGCGACUGUCAUGCGGCGGUAUGCCUUGCGAGCGUACGACCGCCGCAGGACUCUAAUAAAUAAAAGAUAAGCGCGACAAUAUAUUCGCACUGCGGUGUGCACUCUGAAAUAAUAGUAAUCUUCAACUGUUUAAAAAUUAAUCCUUUUUGUCAUUUGCAGCGUUUAAACAGACACCAGUUUAAAAAGUAUACUGACGCCACAUAUUAAUUUAUACUAAGCCAGUUUAGGAUGAAAUUAUGUUUUCCAAGAGUUUCAAUCUGUUGGCGGAUGGCAACACAGAUCGUAUGAGUAAAUAUAAUACAAAUUUGAUGACGUUUUGUUUUAGUGUGUACCUUUCUGACUUGUUUAUAUUUUUGAAUUCGCUCUCGAUCAUUCUGAAAAAUGUAACCGCGUGCCGUUGAGCAAGAUUGUUUUUUCCAAAUCGUUUUUUCAAUAAAUACCCGUGUAUUCCGUAAUAAACUGUGUGUUUUCCGAUCGAUCCGAAACCUGCCUCUGCCCAACAGGUUAUGGGCCCGGCGGAGCAGUCGGAUAAAGUGC